UAAUGAGGCACAUGGAGAACAAGAUGACGUGUACAAAGUGAAAUCUUCGUAUAACAACAUUCACAUGAUUAAGAAGUAUGGUUUCAAGACAAAAAAAAAUGUUAAUCAGUCAAUGUAGAGUGAAGUGUGUUUAGGCGAUUAUGAUCACUUCAAUCGACGUCAUCAAUUAUAUUAUCUAUUGGGAUAUAUAUAGUGACUAUAGGAUAGAACAAUGACAUAUAACAACGCAUUACCUUCAAUCUUAUUCGCCAAACAUCACCUUAUGUAAUAUAAGUUGUUGCCAAAACAAAGUAAAACAUGUACAUUCAUUUAUCAAGCAUUUCGUUGAAGACAAUGAAUCCUUUUUAUCUGACUUUGUUUGAAGAUAUUUAGA
rnacentral:lncRNA from 1 species